GUUGGUUUAGGGGGUAAUGUCUAGUGGGUAAUGUCUGGGCUGGUUUAGGGGUAAUGUCUAGUGGGUAAUGUCUGGGCUGGUUUAGGGGUAAUGUCUAGUGGGUAAUGUCUGGGCUGGUUUAGGGGGUAAUGUCUGGGCUGGUUUAGGGGUAAUGUCUGGGCUGGUCUAGUGGGUAAUGUCUGGGUUGGUUUAGGGGGUAAUGUCUAGUGGGUAAUGUCUGGGCUGGUUUAGGGGGUAAUGUCUAGUGGGUAAUGUCUGGGCUGGUCUAGGGGGUAAUGUCUGGGCUGGUCUAGGGGGUAAUGUCUGGGCUGGUUUAGGGGGUAAUGUCUGGGUUGGUCUAGUGGGUAAUGUCUAGUGGGUAAUGUCUGGGUUGGUCUGGGGGGUAAUGUCUGGGCUGGUUUAGGGGUAAUGUCUGGGCUGGUGUAGGGGGUAAUGUCUAGUGGGUAAUGUCUAGUGGGUAAUGUCUAGUGGGUAAUGUCUGGGCUGGUUUAGGGGUAAUGUCUGGGCUGGUUUACUGGGUAAUGUCUGGGCUGGUCUAGGGGGUAAUGUCUGGGCUGGUCUAGGGGGUAAUGUCUGGGCUGGUUUAGGGGGUAAUGUCUGGGCUGGUGUAGGGGGUAAUGUCUAGUGGGUAAUGUCUAGGGUGUAAUGUCUGGGCUGGUUUACUGGGUAAUGUCUGGGCUGGUCUAGGGGGUAAUGUCUGGGCUGGUUUAGGGGGUAAUGUCUGGGCUGGUUUAGGGUGAAUGUCUAGUGGGUAAUGUCUAGUGGGUAAUGUCUAGUGGGUAAUGUCUGGGCUGGUUUAGGGGUAAUGUCUGGGCUGGUCUAGGGGGUAAUGUCUAGUGGGUAAUGUCUAGUGGGUAAUGUCUGGGCUGGUUUAGGGGGUAAUGUCUAGUGGGUAAUGUCUAGGGGGUAAUGUCUGGGCUGGUUUAGGGGGUAAUGUCUAGUGGGUAAUGUCUAGUGGGUAAUGUCUAGGUUGGUUUAGGGGGUAAUGUCUAGUGGGUAAUGUCUAGUGGGUAAUGUCUGGGCUGGUUUAGGGGGUAAUGUCCGGGGUUGGUAUAUGGGGUAAUGUCUAG
rnacentral:lncRNA from 1 species